UCUCGCUAUGCGCCUAUGGACACCGAAAGAGAAUCAUAUUGCUGUCGCAAAUUUCAGCGAUGGCAUUUUCUUCUUGAACCCCGCAAGGAGAAACGGAGGCAUGAGUAUAAAACAAUCGACUUACAUCCUAUCGUCAUUUCUUGGAAUGAGUUUUGCAAGGCGAAAGACUGGGGAAAGGACAUCGACUUGUUUUACCUGCCUGUGUUCGUUGUCCAGGACAUCAGACGUAGAUAUCCAGCUCCUCACGGACAUUAUAGCGACUAUAAAUAAACGGAUGAAGCUCUGGAUGAGCUAUAAGUGUGAAUUGUUUAUGUUUUUUAAUAAAAAGUUAAAACUCA